AACGAACGCUGGCGGCGUGGAUAAGACAUGCAAGUCGAGCGCUGGUUACAGGGUAGCAAUAUUCUGUAGUCGGAGCGGCGCAAGGGUGCGUAACACGUGGGUAAUCUGCCAUGAAGUUUGGGAUAACUUGCUGAAAGGCGAGCUAAUACCGGAUGUGAAAAUUGGUUGGCAUCAAUUGAUUUUCAAAGCUGGGGACCGUAAGGCCUGGCGCUUCAUGAUGAGCCCGCGGCCUAUCAGCUAGUUGGUAAGGUAACGGCUUACCAAGGCUAAGACGGGUAGCUGGUCUGAGAGGACGACCAGCCACACUGGAACUGAGACACGGUCCAGACACCUACGGGUGGCAGCAGUCGAGAAUUUUUCACAAUGGGCGCAAGCCUGAUGGAGCGACGCCGCGUGGGGGAUGAAUGGCUUCGGCCCGUAAACCCCUGUCAUUUGCGAUCAAACCUUGUAUUUAAAAGAUGACGAGCUGAUAGUAGCGAAAGAGGAAGGGACGGCUAACU
rnacentral:rRNA from 1 species